AGCGAACGCUGGCGGCGGGGUUUAGGCAUGCAAGUCGCGCGAGAAAGGGGCAACCCGAGUACAGCGGCGUAAGGGUGAGUAAUAGGUAGCCAACGUACCCUGUAGACGCGGAUAAUUCCUCGAAAGGGGUUGUAAUACGCGAUGAGACCACGCGCACUCCGGUGCGAGGGGCCAAAAGGUCGGGGAUCCUUCGGGACCCGGCGCUAUGGGAGCGGGCGACCUCCGAUUAGCUAGUUGGUGAGGUAAUGGCUCACCAAGGCGAUGAUCGGUAGCCGGGCUGAGAGGCUGUCCGGCCACACUGGCACUGAGACACUGGCCAGACUCCUACGGGAGCUGCAGUCGCGAAUCUUCACAAUGGGCGCAAGCCUGAUGAAGCCACGCCGCGUGCAGGAUG
rnacentral:rRNA from 1 species